rnacentral:rRNA from 1 species
GACGAACGCUGGCGGCGUGCCUAAUACAUGCAAGUCGAACGCUUCUUUCCUCCCGAGUGCUUGCACUCAAUCGGAAAGAGGAGUGGCGGACGGGUGAGUAACACGUGGGUAACCUACCCAUCAGAGGGGGAUAACACUUGGAAACAGGUGCUAAUACCGCAUAACAGUUUAUGCCGCAUGGCAUAAGAGUGAAAGGCGCUUUCGGGUGUCGCUGAUGGAUGGACCCGCGGUGCAUUAGCUAGUUGGUGAGGUAACGGCUCACCAAGGCCACGAUGCAUAGCCGACCUGAGAGGGUGAUCGGCCACACUGGGACUGAGACACGGCCCAGACUCCUACGGGAGGCAGCAGUAGGGAAUCUUCCGCAAUGGGCGAAAGCCUGACGGAGCAACGCCGCGUGAGUGAUGAAGGUCUUCGGAUCGUAAAACUCUGUUAUUAGGGAAGAACAUAUGUGUAAGUAACUGUGCACAUCUUGACGGUACCUAAUCAGAAAGCCACGGCUAACUACGUG